GCGGCGCGUGGGGUCGCGGAAUCGGGGAGGCGGAUGAGCGUGAAGUGGGCAGUGUGUCCGAGGGGCGUGGAGCUCCCGGGGCAGGUAGUCUAGGGCCGUGAUGGCCGGAUGGGUAUAGGUCAGAUGCUGAACCUCCUCGGCCAGACUUUGGGAUGGAUCUUGGCUGACGCCAGAAAAAAUAUUAAUUUUAUUACGAGGCACUACAAUAUUUGUAUCCUGGGUGGGCGGAAUGUUGUGGUUCGGGCGGAGUAUAGGCCGCGUCGGAACUUCAACGCUGGCCGGUAGAGGCACUGUGGUAAGGACACUGGUGGGGGCUGGGCCGCCGCUGCUGACUGGCACACCAACGUUGCCGCUCUGGCAACGAUUGUGAACGUUGACGGUGCGGCAAGCGAGAUGCCGCAAGAGCGCUAUCGGUGGGUGUGCUGACACAGCGGUGUGAGGCAGGCGGCGGCGCACAGCCGUGUGAGGCGAUGGUGGGCUCGCGCCCCGGCCCGGCCACGGCGGUGUUGCCAGUGCCCCCCCGCGCACCCCGCCGCGCACACCCCCUUCACCACCACCACGUGCAUCAUCCCGCACGUCCCUUACCACGUGCACCACCACCCCGGACUCCAGUACCGUCUUCCCCCUGUCUGUCCUUCAUCACAGUGGGCAGUGGGUCAGGCCAGGUCUCUGAGUCUCCUCCUCCUAGCCACGUCUCUCUCCAUGAAACUAUCUUCACUCGCAACUUGCACAAGCAAGGCAGCGACUGAAAGACUUCACUCUGAGCCGCCACCCAGACAUGAGAUGAGCCCGUGACGUCACAGGUGGUGAGAGGCGCGGUGCUGGGAUGUUCCUGCUGCAGACAUGAUCACUGACGCCUGCUCGGACCCCCGCGCACUCAUGUCUACAGCACGGCCUUGACAAGAGACCACGAGGACCAGGAUAAACAAGGACCUGGCUGGUGGAGACGACGGUGUUUCUCGUGGAGGUGGGCAGUGACGAUUGUGUUUGUCUCCUUGAACGUUCCUCCCCACCGACUCCCUACGCCACGCCGCGCGCCGAGCUGCUGCUGCUGCUGCUGCUGCUGCUGCUGCUGCUGCUGCCGAGGGUCCCGUGGGAAGCUGAGCACGGCGAGGCAACAAUUUUCUUGCAAUAAUCAACGGACGCGACAUAAAAGGACUGUAUUCGCUGCUUACAUGCCCCACCAACAAUAAGGUUUCCCUUACCAGCUUGCUCACACAAGUAAAAAAGUGUCACACAAAAAUUGGAAGUCUAAUUCAGCAGUUCCUUGAGAACAGCUGUGCCUGCGUGCAGCAUCCCUUGCAGGAUGAUCCCAUCUGUUGAUCAAGACAAUAAUCUGCCACCUAGCUCACAAAUGUAUUUGAUAACAGUCAUUGUUUUAAAAUUUCAUUUUAUUUCCUCCUACAUAUAUUACAAAUCAUGCAGCCAAAGCGCCAGGAGCACAGUACCUGACCACAUGGCGAGGCCAGAAGCUUUUCUAAAUGAUUAAAAACAAAAAAAAAAAAAAAAAAAAACCUGUCAGGCUUAUAUAAUACACCACCAUACGAAAAAAAAAAAAAAUAGUGUAUGCUUAAGGUAUAUUUUCAACUAUAUGUAAAUGUUAAGAGGCAACAUUAUACCCUGCUAGAUGAACUUGUAACCAUGGGAAGCAAGCUUCAAUGAACGCCACCACUGCGAUAAGGUAAUAUUUACUGAGCUUUAUUAACGCUGUGUAUGCAGUGCUUAUGUGGCGAAUAUGAGUUCCUACAAGCGCUGUAAGGACAACACCCUUGUAACAGUGACACACGUAGCCACCUUUUAUCGCCACCCGUGUAUCAGGGAAAGCCAGCCAUUAUUUACUGAACAAGGCAAUAAACUACGAGUCAUCUGGCUGGGCAGA